AUGGUCCCAAGAUGGGGGAACGGGCUGGGAGCUUUUAAGAAGCUUACACACCUGAUGGGCAGAAGAGGAGAUUUGUUAUCCAGUUUCUUAUCAGAGUGCUUGCUUUGGCUGGCCUUACCCACAGAUGAAAUAUGCAACCACCUACAAUGUUUUGAUUUCAAGGACCUGAAGAAGACCCUGAUAUUCUUCAGAUCCCUGUUCCUGUUCCCUCCCAACUCCAAGUUCAAUGAUGUCUGAUCCCACAUUUAGAGAGAUUUGCUCUUAAUUUAAAGGCCCCUGAUUCCUUGUUAAAAUGUAAAUCUCCCUGCAAGGGAGAUUUAAUAUUAUAAGCUAUUUCCAAUUCUCUGUGAAUGAAUUUAUCAGAUUUUUUCUUGAGUGAUAUCUUGAUUGGGGAAAAGUGGAGAGGCCAUGAAGAAUGGGAAUAGGAGAUACCAAUACAAGUUAAAAAGGGUUUUAAAAAAAAAGGUUUCAGAAAAAAGCAAAGAGCUGGGGGGCAUCAGAAGAGUAUUGCACAGUUUAUGUAAUUG
rnacentral:lncRNA from 1 species